ACUAAACCAUUUCCAGAGUGUCAAGCCCUCCAGUCACAGCCAACAGGAAUAUAUGUGCAGCUGAACAAGUUGGGUUUAUUACUUGUUUCUAUGAAGGAGGAGGCACACUCCAGGGAACCAUGUGGCCACUCAGUAAGAAGGUACAGUCGCCUCCCCCUAGCCCUAAGGGACUGGUUCCAGGACCCUGCUCAGACACCAAGAGCUGUGGAUGCUCACGUGUAGCAUUUGCAUCUCACCUACCUACAUCCUCCCAUCUACUUUAAAUCAUCUCUAGAUGACUUGUAAUACCUAAUCCAAUGUAAAUGUUAUGUAAAUAGUUGUACUGUAUUGUUCGGGGGGGGGGAAAUGCCAAAGGAAAAUAUCUUUACAUGUUUUAGUACAAAUGCAAAUUUUUCCCCAAAUAUUUUCAAUCCAUGGUGGGUUGAAUUCACAGAUGAAAUUACAAUGCAGACAUGGCUAAGCGUAUUGUGUAUCAAGCACAAGACACUGAGUGUGAUCCCAUGUCACCAAACAAAUUAAAAAUACAGAGAACCAGUGGAUGCAGAGAGCCGACUACACUAGAAAGGCCUAGGCCUAAGGACACUUGUAUUUCCAUUGUGUGGCACUAGGAGGAGUCUGUAAAGUGGAGGUGUCCUGUAAACUAGGUUCUGUCAGAAAGUGGAGACCAUUUUGGUGUUAUAAUUUGGGUCUUGAAUGUUUUCUAAAGGCUCGUGUGCAGAAGGAUUGGUCCUCACCUAUGGUACCAUUGGGAGGGAGCGGAGUCUCUGAGGCAUGGCCUAGUGCAGAGAGGUUAGGUCAGUGGAAGACCCUGGAAACAGAUAGUGGGACCUGGCCUGCGCCCACCUCCAUUCAUUCUCUCUCUCUCUCUCUCUCUCUCUCUCUCUCUCUCUCUUCCUGUCUGCCUACCUAUCGAUCUACCCAACUCUCUUCUCUCCUCUUCUUUCUCCUUUCUUCCCUCUCACGCUCUUGCCCCCUCCUGGGCCUUCUCCAUAAUGCUGUUUUGUGCCACCAUAGAUCCAACACAACAGGAAAAAUAACCAAGAACCGAAACUUCUGACAGUGUGAGCCAAAAUAAACCUUUUCUCCUUAUAAGCUACCUCAGGUAUUUUGUCACAAUUGCAGAAAGCUGACUCACACAGCCCAUGUUGCUGUUAACCUCACCCAUAAGACUGAAAUGAAGUUACAGCUGUAACUGGUAAUGCCACAGUUGUCACUCAUUAGUCACUCAUAAAGUAGGAGAGAAGCAUGUUUGGUAUUUUGUGGCUCGGACAAUCUUCAUGUUUUGUCUGUGUUCAGACCUGAUUCCAGCGUGGUGGUCUUGGUUUGCAUCGAUCUCCCAUGGUCAGAAUGGCCAGUCCGAUGCUGAUGACCCAUGAAACAGUUCACAUUCAACAGGACAACAUCAAGGCCUGGCUCUGAGUGCCAGAUUGGCUCACAGCAACACCUGGGUCCAGCAGCUGAUCGUGCCAGGCCAGCCUCCAGAUGUCAGGGGAUACUUUUUUCUUUUUCAUCUACAUAGUAUCUUAUGUGAUCCACAAAACAGCCCCUGGAAUAGGUUUUAUGAUUUUUGUGUUAUAAAUAAGAAAAUUAGGCCCGUGAACUUUUAACAGCCUGGUGCAAGGUCUAACACUUGUAAGUCAUCUGACUCUGAACAUGAGGGCUGUGUUUUCUGAGCCUUCGCUUCUUCACUGAAAAAUGGGCACAGUAAUAUUUGCCUGUCAGGAUUGCAAAGAUUAAAUGAAAUUAAGUACACUAAAGAACACAACCUCACUCCUAAUACUUAGAAGUACUUCAAAACAUGGUACUACUUCACUUCCCUUAUAUCCCCACUCUUUUUAUAUUACAGGGCCUCUGGAAAACAUCUUUAUAUGCAGUCAAUAUCAAAGUAAUUUUCAUUGUUGUGAUUUUUAAAUAUGGCCUCUCUUCAGGAAGAAUCUCCUAUAAUGGGGCUAUUUGGUAUUUCUGGAGGUUCCACAGCUGGCCAGCUCUGUGCAGGCCACUGCUCUUCAGGGCAGAAAGAUCUUCUGCUUAUGCUCCCAGACAAUGAAGCUAAAUGGGCAGAGAUGUAUGGGUGGACCAGCUUUUAGAUCAGAAGCCUGAACACAAAAUCUCAAAAUAUUAAAAUUUGUGGGAUUAACUGUGGCUCAAACUAAUGUUCCCCUAGCAAGAAACAUACAGGCAUACAGACUAAGGGCAGAACUCAAUCUCCUCCUCAAUCUCUGCCACCCUGAGGGAGUACACCCAAGAAAUGGUGAGUUAGUUCCAGCCUUAGCUCUUGCCUGGAAUUCUACAGCAGCUUUCUGGGUUCCCUUAUCCCCUCGAGUCUCUCCCUUAUUCUGCCAAAAUUCUUGCUUAAGUAAAGUGAGUUAUUUUGUUCUCCACUACAGGCCUAAAUUCCUGUCUGGCAUUUAACAACCUUUGUGGUCUGGAUCCAAUGCAGUUCUCUUGUCUCUCUCCUCAUUAGACUCAGCCUCAAAUACCUGCAUUAUAAGAUCCCCAUACACAUAUCUGACCAUCCUACUAUGCCACCUCAACACAUCGACUCACGUCAUGUUCUCCUUUCAGUGUAACCUUGUAUUCUUGGGUAGAAGGGACAGAGAAGUGUUGGGAGCCGCAGCCCCGAGCCCGGUCGCCUCACUUGGCGGACGUGAGGCCUGUAGUAAAGAGUAAAGCCUGAGGUAGAUUACCCCUCCCAUCGAGCACGUUAGUUUCCUGCUUACCGCGUAAGCAACCCGCUCAACAAUAUAGUCUGCCUGGCAACUGAUGAUGUUAGCCAAUCAGCUUGCCUUGCUUACUUUAACAUGAUUGGACACUGUAUCCGUAUAUAUACUGGUGCCACCCCUGGGGGGGAAGAAGAAGCCCGGAAGUAGAAGCCCAGAAGGAGCCGCGGGGAGCGGACCAAAGGAGGCUUCGGCUGGGAGCGAUCCCAGGGCAGGCUGUACGGAGAAGGAAAAUAAAAGAAAAGGUUGUCCACUGCCAGACUUUGUCGUGUGUCCUUCCUGCCGGCCAGGAGCGACAUCGACAUUUGGAGGCCCGCACGGGGACUGAUCACCCCCGAGACGUGACAGCGGACAACGCUCCAGUACAGAGCUGCGAGACAGGAAUCGGGACGAGAACCACUGUGGGUACCGGAGAGACUGACACGGGCGACAAAGCCCUCGACUGAAGAUCAGACCUGCCCUACCGGAGAUCCAUCACAGACCAACCAACAAGAUGAAUAGAAAUAGCGGUAGCCCGAAAUGGACAAGAAGAUCCUCAGGCAUAUGCAUGGCUCGCUCGCCUAGCCUACGACCGAGUCUAGGGGUGGUGAGCUUCCCACACUCCUCCUCUAAAAAAUUAUGACAUAGCUGGGUAGGAGAGUCAAUGACGGGUAAGAGCGUACUCCCCCGGUGCGACUCAACCUAAGCCAGGCCCUACCCCAUCCUGCACGUAAGCCGCUGGACUGUUAGAUGCUGCCCAGGUCUAAAUUUCUCUCCGAGGGGAUUUCUUUACGGAGAGGAAAUGAGUGCAAGCUUGUGUGCAUCCAUGUUCCGUCCAGUUUGUGCCUGGCCCUAGAAAAAGGACGAGGGCCUCAGGGCCUUGGCAGACCAUGGGACGGCCGACCAGGGUCUAAGCCAAGGACCUACGGUGGGCCUACGCAUAGGGCAUAAGCCUCUGCACCCAGUCCAGGAAGGGCUACGAUGCGCAUAUUUAUAAAAAAAAAUAAAUAAAUAAAAAAGGGGGAGAUGUUGGGAGCCGCAGCCCCGAGCCCGGUCGCCUCACUUGGCGGACGUGAGGCCUGUAGUAAAGAGUAAAGCCUGAGGUAGAUUACCCCUCCCAUCGAGCACGUUAGUUUCCUGCUUACUGCGUAAGCAACCCGCUCAACAAUAUAGUCUGCCUGGCAACUGAUGAUGUUAGCCAAUCAGCUUGCCUUGCUUACUUUAACAUGAUUGGACACUGUAUCCGUAUAUAUACUGGUGCCACCCCUGGGGGGGAAGAAGAAGCCCGGAAGUAGAAGCCCAGAAGGAGCCGCGGGGAGCGGACCAAAGGAGGCUUCGGCUGGGAGCGAUCCCAGGGCAGGCUGUACGGAGAAGGAAAAUAAAAGAAAAGGUUGUCCACUGCCA